AAGUCAUUUGGCAGGUGACUUGUGCUGUACGCAGUACAGCUGAGGUCUGUGUCACCGUAGCUUUGCCAAGUGAGCUGCUGACCUUCGGGAAGGUUUUCCUGCCACUGCCUGCCAUCAGACACACCGCCUUGCUGCUGGAUGUGGGGCUCUCCCUCCCAUCACUGACCCAGCAUUUUUUGGUGCUUCUUUGGUUAAGUUUCUGACAGCAAAGUGUGAAGACCAGAAUCCUACGAACUUUGCGGAGUCACCCAAAAUAAAGCAGGGUGGAAACAUCAAUAGAAGAGCCAGGGGACUCCGAAGCCAAGUGUAAAUGCUGUUGUGUCACCAGCCAGCGUGUAAGGAUGAAGAGCGGCUCUCCUUUACUCGGCUUCCCUGCCCUAUCUCCUUGGACAGCCGGGGCUGGCUCUGGCUGACGAAAUCCUUACUCAUCCUGGCCAGCGGUAGCAGUACGAGAACAAAUCUGCCUUGCAGACCAGCAGGCAGCGGUGCUGCUCUUCGGGGGGAAAGGAAAACGAACAGUUUGUUUCUUAAUGUAAAGUACAGCCCUCUGUGCUCGUUGGUUAAUAAAUAU